AGGGAAACCGAGUCUUAAUUGGGCGUUAAGUUGCAGGGUAUAGACCCGAAACCCGGUGAUCUAGCCAUGGGCAGGUUGAAGGUUGGGUAACACUAACUGGAGGACCGAACCGACUAAUGUUGAAAAAUUAGCGGAUGACCUGUGGCUGGGGGUGAAAGGCCAAUCAAACCGGGAGAUAGCUGGUUCUCCCCGAAAGCUAUUUAGGUAGCGCCUCGUGAAUUCAUCUCCGGGGGUAGAGCACUGUUUCGGCUAGGGGGCCAUCCCGGCUUACCAACCCGAUGCAAACUGCGAAUACCGGAGAAUGUUAUCACGGGAGACACACGGCGGGUGCUAACGUCCGUCGUGAAGAGGGAAACAACCCAGACCGCCAGCUAAGGUCCCAAAGUCAUGGUUAAGUGGGAAACGAUGUGGGAAGGCCCAGACAGCCAGGAUGUUGGCUUAGAAGCAGCCAUCAUUUAAAGAAAGCGUAAUAGCUCACUGGUCGAGUCGGCCUGCGCGGAAGAUGUAACGGGGCUAAACCAUGCACCGAAGCUGCGGCAGCGACGCUGAUGCGUUGUUGGGUAGGGGAGCGUUCUGUAAGCCUGUGAAGGUGGCCUGUGAGGGUUGCUGGAGGUAUCAGAAGUGCGAAUGCUGACAUAAGUAACGAUAAAGCGGGUGAAAAGCCCGCUCGCCGGAAGACCAAGGGUUCCUGUCCAACGUUAAUCGGGGCAGGGUGAGUCGACCCCUAAGGCGAGGCCGAAAGGCGUAGUCGAUGGGAAACAGGUUAAUAUUCCUGUACUUGGUGUUACUGCGAAGGGGGGACGGAGAAGGCUAUGUUGGCCGGGCGACGGUUGUCCCGGUUUAAGCGUGUAGGUGUGUGUUCCAGGUAAAUCCGGUUCACUUUAACACUGAGGCGUGAUGACGAGGCACUACGGUGCUGAAGCAACAAAUGCCCUGCUUCCAGGAAAAGCCUCUAAGCAUCAGGUAACAUCAAAUCGUACCCCAAACCGACACAGGUGGUCAGGUAGAGAAUACCAAGGCGCUUGAGAGAACUCGGGUGAAGGAACUAGGCAAAAUGGUGCCGUAACUUCGGGAGAAGGCACGCUGACACGUAGGUGAAGUGAUUUACUCACGGAGCUGAAGUCAGUCGAAGAUACCAGCUGGCUGCAACUGUUUAUUAAAAACACAGCACUGUGCAAACACGAAAGUGGACGUAUACGGUGUGACGCCUGCCCGGUGCCGGAAGGUUAAUUGAUGGGGUCAGCGCAAGCGAAGCUCCUGAUCGAAGCCCCGGUAAACGGCGGCCGUAACUAUAACGGUCCUAAGGUAGCGAAAUUCCUUGUCGGGUAAGUUCCGACCUGCACGAAUGGCGUAAUGAUGGCCAGGCUGUCUCCACCCGAGACUCAGUGAAAUUGAACUCGCUGUGAAGAUGCAGUGUACCCGCGGCAAGACGGAAAGACCCCGUGAACCUUUACUAUAGCUUGACACUGAACAUUGAGCCUUGAUGUGUAGGAUAGGUGGGAGGCUUUGAAGUGUGGACGCCAGUCUGCAUGGAGCCGACCUUGAAAUACCACCCUUUAAUGUUUGAUGUUCUAACGUGGACCCGUAAUCCGGGUUGCGGACAGUGUCUGGUGGGUAGUUUGACUGGGGCGGUCUCCUCCUAAAGAGUAACGGAGGAGCACGAAGGUUGGCUAAUCCUGGUCGGACAUCAGGAGGUUAGUGCAAUGGCAUAAGCCAGCUUGACUGCGAGCGUGACGGCGCGAGCAGGUGCGAAAGCAGGUCAUAGUGAUCCGGUGGUUCUGAAUGGAAGGGCCAUCGCUCAACGGAUAAAAGGUACUCCGGGGAUAACAGGCUGAUACCGCCCAAGAGUUCAUAUCGACGGCGGUGUUUGGCACCUCGAUGUCGGCUCAUCACAUCCUGGGGCUGAAGUAGGUCCCAAGGGUAUGGCUGUUCGCCAUUUAAAGUGGUACGCGAGCUGGGUUUAGAACGUCGUGAGACAGUUCGGUCCCUAUCUGCCGUGGGCGCUGGAGAACUGAGGGGGGCUGCUCCUAGUACGAGAGGACCGGAGUGGACGCAUCACUGGUGUUCGGGUUGUCAUGCCAAUGGCACUGCCCGGUAGCUAAAUGCGGAAGAGAUAAGUGCUGAAAGCAUCUAAGCACGAAACUUGCCCCGAGAUGAGUUCU
rnacentral:rRNA from 1 species